UUUUUUUUUUUUUUUUUUUUUUUUUUUUGCAGAUUGCAGAAUGACCAUUCCCUUCUAGAAAUGCUUUAUUUCCUUGGUUUCUGUGAAUCAGCUUUCUCCUCAUUCUCCCAUCUCUCUGGCUCUUCCUUUAUUCUACCUGUGGCUUUCCUCUCUUUACAUUCAACACCUUCAGCCAAGAGCCACCAACUAUGCCCAACAUUUGCAUCUCCUAAGCAGAGCUUUUCUCAGAGUGCUCCAGUGACAAACACUGACCAGAGUCUCUAACUGGAAGUUAACCAGACACUAACUGCCUAAUGAAAGCUAUCAUUAGCUUUUCCCAAAGUUGCUCUGCAUUCUCUGGCAACACCAUCCACAAAUUUAGCUAAUUCAGAAACCUGGGAUUCAUCCUAGACUCCUCCCCUCUCCUCCCACAUAAACUGGACACUAAAUCCAGUGACUUCUCUGUUGAUACCCACCAAUCUCCUGAAGUCUCCUGCAACAGCCUCCUAAUGGCCUCUAAGCCAUUCUCUACACAAUAGCUAGAGUAGCCUUUCUAAACAUCUCAAUCUGUACCCACAGCAAUGAGCCCACUAAAUGCUCACCACCCCCUGCACUCCAGCCGUACCUUCCUGCUUGACAUUCCAGAAAUACAAGCAUCCACUUACACCUCCACAUAUUUACACCAAUUACAGUGCUGCUUCUGCUUGGGAGGCCCUCACCCUCCCGCCUCCUAUUAACUUGGCAAGUUAUUACUGACUCUUCAAGAUACAGUUUAACACAACUCUGAAUCUACUAAAAACUACUGAACUGUACACUUUAAGGAGAUUAAUUGUAUGGUAUGUAAAUUAUAUCCCAAUAAAACUCACAAUUUUCUAAAAGAAAAGAUUUACUAUCCAAUUUUUUAAAUGGGCAAAAGACCAAACAGGCACUUCAUAAAAUAGGAAAUUCAAAUGACCAACAAACAUAGGAAAAGAUGUCCAACACCAUCACUCACAAAAAUGCAAAUUAAAACCACAAUUGGGCAUUGAUACACAGCUAGAAUAGCUAAAAUUAAAAAGAAUGACAUUGUCAAGUGUGGAAAAGAUGUGCAGCAACCUAAACUCCAUAUAUUGCUGGUGAGCAAAAAUGACGGUUGAAUAAACAAGUGUAUAGAACAAAGCAAGAAGGCAAAAACAAGUGAUUACCUUCCAUGCAAGGGAUUCCAAAGUCAUGGGCUUGUGAGCUUGAGUUUAUACUACAGGGCAGGGUUGAGGCUUAUCUAACAAAUAUAAAUGACAGCAUUCCUAAAUUGUCUCACCUGUGAUUUACUGACCCAAUGCCACCAAUCCCAUGUCUAUCAUUUUCUGCAGCAAUCAGGAUUCACACAUACUAUAAGAAAAUAGAUAAGCAAUUACCUACUGGGUCCACCUGCCAAUAGAAAAUCAAGAGACCAAAGAACACAGAAUCCCAUUACCAACAGUGUACAUACAGAUCACAGAUUUUAUGAAGAGCGAAAAAGAAAGACAGACAAGAUACCAAGAGACCAAGUUGCUAACUUGCUAGAAAGUCAAAAUAUAAACAAAAGUCCUCCAGCAAUCACACUCUGGGGUAUUUAAUCUACAGAAAUGGAAACAUUUACAAAAAAACAAAAAACAACAACAAAAAAAAAACACCCUGUACAGGAAUAUUCAGCAGCAUUAUUUAUAAGAAUCAAAAACUAGAAACUCUCUAAAUGUCCUUCAUCAGAUGACUGGAUAAUAGAUAAUGAAACUGUGGUACAUUCAGACUGUAAAAUACUACUCAGCAGUAAAAAAGUUACUGAAAGACCCAACGACAUGGAUGAGCUUCAAGUGCAUUAUGCUGCCUAAAUACGACUAAUCUCACAAGGUUACAUAUUAUAUAACCGCACUUAUACAACUUCCUCAAAGUGACAAAAUUACAGUGAUAGAUAACAGACCUGUGCUUAACAGGAAUCAGGGCUAAAGGUAAGACAUGAUCCUUAAAAGGUGUAACAAGAGGGAGUUUGUGAUGAAGAAAAAGUUCUACAACCUAAUCAUGGUGAUGAGAUAAAAGUGAUAACACCUGAUAGAACUGCACACAUAUACACAUACAACUUAUAAAAUUAGUAAAAUUUUACUUGAGUUAAAUAGCAUCAUGUAAAAACUAGUAACAUUUUACUUGAGUUAAUAGCAUCAUGCCAAAGUAAAUUUCCUAGUUUUGACAACGUUCUAAGGUUGUGUAAGAUAUCACCACGGAGGGGAGCUGGAUAAAGGGUACACAAGGAACUCUGUAGUAUCUCUUCAACUUCUUCUGAGUCCUAUUAUUUCAAAACAAAAAUUUUUAAUUUAAAAAAAAGGAAUUAAGGAAUUCCUUUGCGGCACAACAGGUUAAGAAUCCAGCAGUGGCCUGGGUUGCUGCUGUGGUACAGGUUUAAUCCCUGGCCCAGGAACUUCCACAUUCCACAGGUGGAGGCAAAUAAAUAAAUAAAUAAAAAGAUAGGAGUCAAAAAAGUAAUUUAUAAAUCCCACUCCUUGGUAUAUAGCCAGACUUUUUUUUUUUUUUUUUUUUUUUUUUUUUUUUAAAAAAAAAAGCAUAUGGAAAUUCCCAGGUGUGGUUCUAAAAAGAAAAAAAGAAAAAAAAAGGAAAAAAGAAUGAAAUAAUGGCAUUUGCAGCAACAUGGAUGGACCUAGAGAUUAUCACACUAAAUAAAAUAAGUCAGAAAGAGAAAGACAACUACAACAUGAUUCACUUGUAUGUGGAAUCUAAAAUAUGGCACAGGAGUUCCUGUCAUGGUGCAGUGGAAACAAAUCCCACUAGGAACCAUGAGGUUACGGGUUCGAUCCCUGGCCUCACUCAGUGGGUUAAGGAUC
ensembl:lncRNA